rnacentral:rRNA from 1 species
CGGGUGCACUGAUCCAGCCGGGCCUUUCCCUCUGUGGAACCCCAUGGCCUUCACUGGCUGUGGUGGGGAAACAGGACUUUUACUUUGAAAAAAUUAGAGUGCUCCAGGCAGGCCUAUGCUCGAAUACAUUAGCAUGGAAUAAUAGAAUAGGACGUGUGGUUCUAUUUUGUUGGUUUCUAGGACCGCUGUAAUGAUUAAUAGGGACAGUCGGGGGCAUCAGUAUUCAAUUGUCAGAGGUGAAAUUCUUGGAUCUAUUGAAGACUAACUACUGCGAAAGCAUUUGCCAAGGAUGUUUUCAUUGAUAAGGAACGAAAGUUAGGGGAUCGAAGACGAUCAGAUACCGUCGUAGUCUUAACUAUAAACUAUGCCGACUAGGGAUCGGACGAUGUUAUUCUUUGACGCGUUCGGCACCUUUCGAGAAAUCAAAGUGCUUGGGCUCCAGGGGGAGUAUGGUCGCAAGGCUGAAACUUAAAGAAAUUGACGGAAGGGCACCACCAGGGGUGGAACCUGCGGCUUAAUUUGACUCAACACGGGGAAACUCACCAGGUCCAGACACAGUGAGGAUUGACAGAUUGAGAGCUCUUUCUUGAUUCUGUGGGUGGUGGUGCAUGGCCGUUCUUAGUUGGUGGAGUGAUUUGUCUGCUUAAUUGCGAUAACGAACGAGACCUUAACCUGCUAAAUAGCCCGUACUGCUUUGGCAGUUCGCCGGCUUCUUAGAGGGACUAUCGG